AUGGAAGGUUCGCAGAGUUCAAUAGUGAGGGUGCCGGCGAGGUGCACAGCAGAGACGCAAACGUCGCGGGCCACGGUUGCGUUCGAGAUCGCUGGCUACAGCCUUCACAAGGGCCUCGGUAGAGGCAAAUACCUCCGUUCUCCGGCAUUCUCCGUCGGCGGCUACGAAUGGUGCAUCCGCUACUACCCCGACGGAAGCCCAGACGAGGCGAGCGAAGGUUGCGUCUCUGUCUUCCUCAAGCUCUUGACCAAGAACGCCGAGGUGAGGGCGACCUACAAUUUGAUGCUUGUGGAGCCGGUUAAGGGGCAGUCGACUGUGGUGCCCUCCUCCGAAGAGCCACAAGUGUUCGACCGUGAAAGGCCAUCCUGGGGCUUGCGGAGGUUCAUGAAGACCACUGCUGAAGUAGAGUGGGCGAACCUGUGGAACGAUUGUCUCGUGAUCGAGUGUGAGGUCACUGUUAUCAAGGAAACAUUUGAUGUCCAUGUGCCGCCCUCUGACCUUUCGGAUAAUCUUGCAACAUUGCUAGAGGGGAAGAAAGGAGCGGACGUGACAUUUAAGGUUCAAGGGGAGGUAUUUUCUGCUCAUAAGAUUUUGCUUGCGAUGCGAUCACCAGUCUUCGAAGCAGAGUUCUAUGGGCCACUGGGGAACAAGGGGGCGCAGAACGGGCAUGAUUGGCUGGCAGACAAAAAUUGGCAAGCCAACAUUUGGCAUUUCCAACAAGUGACAGCUAUAAAACUUGCCAAAAUUUUGCUAGUUUUAAGAGGUUGGCUAGGUGCCAACCAAUUGCUAGACAAAAUUUUGGUUUGCUUACCUAUUGGCAACCCAAAUUUUGGCAGCAAACCAAGCAGCCUUGACAUAACAAUUGAUGACAUGCAGCCUGCUGUUUUCAGGGCAUUUCUUCACUUCAUCUACACAGAUUCAAUGCCUUCCAUGAGAGAUCUUGAGGAUGAUGACAAAAUAGAAAUGGUUAAGCACUUACUCGUGGCUGCAGAUAAGUAUGGGAUGGAAAGGAUGAAGAGGAUAUGUGAAGGCAUGCUAUGCAAGAGUCUUGAUGUUGAGACUGUGGCUGCCAUAUUAGCUCUAGCUGACCAGCACCAUUGCAGCAACCUCAAAGAUGCUUGCAUCGAAUUUAUGCUCUCUUCGAACAGAAUGAAUGAUGUGAUGGCAAGCCAGGGUAUGCACACCUCAAAAGAUAUUCUCCUGAUGUCAUUGUAG
rnacentral:rRNA from 1 species